GAUUGCUAAUUUCUAUUUUGUUUAGCUCUUUUUCUGGAGUUUUGUUCUGUUCUUUCAUUUGGAACAUGUUUCUUUGUCUCCUUAUUUUGGCUGCCUCCCUGUGUUUGUCCCUAUUAUUAGGUACAGCUACUAUGUCUCCUGGGCUUGUUAGAGUGGUCUAAUGUAGUAGGUGUCCUGUAGGUACUGCAUAUUUGUUCAUGCA